AGAGUUUGAUCAUGGCUCAGGACGAACGCUGGCGGCGUGCCUAACACAUGCAAGUCGAGCGAUGAAGUUUCCUUCGGGAAACGGAUUAGCGGCGGACGGGUGAGUAACACGUGGGUAACCUGCCUUAUAGUGGGGGAUAGCCUUUCGAAAGGAAGAUUAAUACCGCAUAAGAUUGUAGUAUCGCAUGAUAUAGCAAUUAAAGGAGCAAUUCGCUAUAAGAUGGACCCGCGUCGCAUUAGCUAGUUGGUGAGGUAAUGGCUCACCAAGGCGACGAUGCGUAGCCGACCUGAGAGGGUGAUCGGCCACAUUGGGACUGAGACACGGCCCAG
rnacentral:rRNA from 1 species